rnacentral:rRNA from 1 species
UACGUAGGGUGCAAGCGUUGUCCGGAAUUAUUGGGCGUAAAGAGCUCGUAGGCGGUCUGUCGCGUCGGAUGUGAAAACCCAGGGCUCAACCCUGGGCCUGCAUUCGAUACGGGCAGACUAGAGUUCGGUAGGGGAGACUGGAAUUCCUGGUGUAGCGGUGAAAUGCGCAGAUAUCAGGAGGAACACCGGUGGCGAAGGCGGCCUGCUGGGCAGUUUUGCUGACACUGAGGCGCGACAGCGUGGGGAGCAAACAGG